GAUGAACGCUGGCGGCGUGCCUAAUACAUGCAAGUCGAGCGAACAGACGAGGAGCUUGUGCCGUGGACGUGAGCGGCGGACGGGUGAGUAACACGUGGAUAACCCACCUAUAAUAGGGGGAAAAUCUGGGGAAACGGGAGAAAAUACCGGAGAAGAUAUUGAACCACAGGGGGCAAUGGAAAAAGACGGCGGUGGGGGCACGAAUAGAGGGAUACGCGCCGGAUUGGCUAGUAGGUAGGGUAAAGGGUUAUGAAGGCAACGAUGCGUAUCCGACCUGAGAGGCUGCUCGGCCACCCUGGAGCGUGGCCACCGUCCAGAGUCCUACGGGAGGCACCAGUCUGCUACCUUCCGCAGUGGGCGGAAGCCUGACGCAGCAACGCCGCGUCUGUUAUGACGGUCUUCGGAUCGUAAAGCUCUCUUAUUAGGGAAGAACCGCUGUCUCCGUAGCUAUGCCCUUCUUGACGGUACUUAGUCAGGAAGCCCCGGCUAACUACGUG
rnacentral:rRNA from 1 species